ACGCUGGCGGCGUGCCUAACACAUGCAAGUCGAACGGAUUUGAGGGGCUUGCUCCUCAAGUUAGUGGCGCACGGGUGAGUAACGCGUAGAUAAUCUGCCUGAUGAUUCGGGAUAACACUUCGAAAGGGGUGCUAAUACCGGAUAAGCCCACGUGGUCUUUGGAUCGUGCGGGAAAAGGGGGGGACCUUCGGGCCUUCUGUCAUCAGAUGAGUCUGCGUACCAUUAGCUAGUUGGUAGGGUAAUGGCCUACCAAGGCUACGAUGGUUAGCUGGUUUGAGAGAAUGAUCAGCCACACUGGAACUGAGACACGGUCCAGACUCCUACGGGAGGCAGCAGUGGGGAAUUUUGCGCAAUGGGCGAAAGCCUGACGCAGCAACGCCGCGUGAGUGAUGAAGGCUUUCGGGUCGUAAAGCUCUGUCGAGGGGAAAGAAGUGUACGGGGGCUAAUAUCCUCUGUACUUGACGGUACCCCUAAAGGAAGCACCGGCUAACUCCGUGCCAGCAGCCGCGGUAAUACGGGGGGUGCAAGCGUUGUUCGGAAUUAUUGGGCGUAAAGAGCGUGUAGGCGGUUUGUUAAGUCUGAUGUGAAAGCCCUGGGCUCAACCCAGGAAGUGCAUUGGAAACUGGCAGACUUGAAUACGGGAGAGGGCAGUGGAAUUCCUAGUGUAGGAGUGAAAUCCGUAGAUAUUAGGAGGAACACCGGUGGCGAAGGCGGCUGCCUGGACCGAUAUUGACGCUGAGACGCGAAAGCGUGGGUAGCAAACAGGAUUAGAUACCCUGGUAGUCCACGCCGUAAACGAUGAGAACUAGGUGUUGCGGGUAUUGACCCCUGCAGUGCCGCAGCUAACGCAUUAAGUUCUCCGCCUGGGAAGUACGGUCGCAAGACUAAAACUCAAAU
rnacentral:rRNA from 1 species